rnacentral:ncRNA from 1 species
UAAACAGUAACGCAAGGAAAUAGUAACAGUGAAACUUUCUAAAGAGAAUCGAUGGCUGGUGCGAAUCGAUGUUAGUUAUCUGUGAAUCCAUCCUUAAACUGGUUUGCUGAACUAGCGCUUAAGUAGGUAAACCCGGUUAAAAACCGUUAACAUUUUUUGAGCCGGAAGAAUUCAUUUCUUCAAUCUGGGUGGUAUCGCGGGUAUACUCUCGUCCCUAUU